rnacentral:rRNA from 1 species
AUUGAACGCUGGCGGCAGGCCUAACACAUGCAAGUCGAACGAGUGGCGGACGGGUGAGUAAUGUCUGGGGAACUGCCUGAUAGAGGGGGAUAACUACUGGAAACGGUGGCUAAUACCGCAUACCAUCGGAUGUGCCCAUAUGGGAUUAGCUAGUAGGUGGGGUAAAGGCUCACCUAGGCGACGAUCCCUAGCUGGUCUGAGAGGAUGACCAGCCACACUGGGACUGAGACACGGCCCAGACUCCUACGGGAGGCAGAAGUGGGGAAGAUUGCACAAUGGGCGCAAGCCUGAUGCAGCCAUGCCGCGGGGAUGAAGAAGGCCUUAGGGUUGUAAAGUACUUUCAGCGGGGAGGCGUUACCCGCAGAAGAAGCACCGGCUAACUCCGUGCCAGCAGCCGCGGUAAUAC